CACUUCUGAGGCUGAAGGAAGACACAACAGUUGAGCUGCACCCUUCAUUUCCUACUUCGUUCAAAAAGUUUACACAAUGAAAACACACAAAUUUAUUAUAUAAUGACUAAAGAAAACAUAUCUAUUCUUCCAGUCUGGAUUUCUACUAAAAAUACCUCUCUUCUGUCAACAUGGAUCACCACCAUAUUUUCUUUACCCUCAAAAAGGGAAUAUACAGUGUGGACCUCAGCAGUUCUCCCAAAACCCUUCUUGUAAAUCUUGAAGAUGAUCAGUAAUGAAUCUUCCAAGAGUACUAAAAUUGUUUUAAAAUCAUAUUUUAAAUACAUAUUUGUAAUACUUGAAAACAGAAGUGACUAUCUGAAUCUCUGGGCCGUUGAAGAUUUCAUGUAAUUUUACAUGGCAUAUUGCAUCAAUCCAUAUUAAUUGUAGGUCAGCCUCUGGGUCUGUUUAAAUAUUCAUUAAAAAGAAAUUUUUAGGGAGGCUCAUGUCACUUCUCAUUACCUUCUACUCAUUCUCAGAUUCAUGGUGUUUUAUUGACUUUGGCAUUGUCUGAAAGUGGUCAACAUGGAUUCACAAGAUGGCCUCUGUCCUAUCCCUAUCACUAGAUCUGAAUGGUGUAUUUGUAAUGCAGGCAGAGAGAAAAAAAAUCUUAUUUUAGGCCUCCUUUUGUUAACACAUGGCAGGAUCUGUGUCUAAACCUGCUGAUCCUGUUUGAAAUGUGUGAGGGAUCACUUAUAUGCAAGGUUCAUCCAAGCACUGGCUUCUCACUUCUGCCUUGUCACCUGCCCUCCAUUUCUCCAUUUCACUGUAUUUUCAACACAUUUCCUGGAAUUCUACACAUUCUAUACCGCGGAGUAAGAAUCUGCACAAGUUGCUGUAGACUUUACCGUAACUUACAUUGAUUUGACUGACAGUUAUUGUGGAGGUAGAAUCUCAUGGAGCAUGAGCAACAUCCCCCUGCUUGGCCUCCUCUCCAUCCAUGAAGCCCUGGUAGAGGAGCUUCUGCAGAGCACAGAGAUAAGGGGAACAUGCUUCCACACAAUUUCUCCUCCAGAUCUGACACUACCCAACCAGAUUCAUGUGUUUUAUUCCCAUUCUGUUAUGGACGGGAGCAUGGGGCUCAUUUUUACUUAAUUAAAACACUUAUUUUCUCCAAAACAUAUUUUUUUCUAGUGAUGAGGUUACAUUUGUUUUAAACCAGUCCAGUACCAGUGACAGGGACUUUCUGUCCACCUCCGCUCUAAUCUAACUUUCUAUUAAGAUUGAUUUCUUUUCCCUCAUCUGCUUAGCUCCCACUGAAGCCAGUCAUCCCAACAAUGCCCAUACAUUCAAAACAAAUAAAAAUGAUAGU